rnacentral:tRNA from 1 species
GCAAUGGUGGUUCAGGGGUAGAAUUCUUGCCUCCCACGCAGGAGACUUGGGUUGGACUCCUGGCCGAUGCA